rnacentral:rRNA from 1 species
CAGCCGCCGCGGUAAUACGUAGGUGGCGAGCGUUGUCCGGAAUCAUUGGGCGUAAAGGGAGCGCAGGCGGGCAUGUAAGUCUUUCUUAAAAGUUCGGGGCUCAACCCCGUGAUGGGAAAGAAACUACAUGUCUUGAGUACAGGAGAGGAAAGCGGAAUUCCCAGUGUAGCGGUGAAAUGCGCAGAUAUUGGGAGGAACACCAGUGGCGAAGGCGGCUUUCUGGACUGCAACUGACGCUGAGGCUCGAAAGCCAGGGGAGCGAACGGGAUUAGAGACCCCCGUAGUCCCUGUCUCUUAUACA